rnacentral:lncRNA from 1 species
UAAUUUGGUUGAAGCAGAUUAAAUUGUGAACUCUUGUGCAUAUGUCAGUUUCGUUUGGGAACCUUACUUCAGAAGAAGCACCGUUUCCUUAACUAAUUUACAUUCAUGAAAACCUAUUGUCAUAUUUGUAAGCAGAGGCCUAAAGAAAUAAAAACAUUUCCAGGGAGUGAAAUAUAGAUUUACUUGUGUGGAAUACUAAAACUGUAUGGGAAGCAGGGACUUUUUCUUCCCUGUGCUCCUCAGCAUUAGAGAUGCGAAAUUCGUGCAGCAUGCACAAGGGUCCUUUGAAGGAUACUUGCUGUCUGAGUUAAAAUAAUUUAUGUUGAUGUUUAUGAAGAACUUUUUUUUAGUCUUCCAUGCUU